CCUACGGGAGGCUGCAGUGAGGAAUAUUGGUCAAUGGCCGGAAGGCUGAACCAGCCAAGCCGCGUGAAGGUCAGCGCCCCAUGGGCGUUAAACUUCCUUUGUGCGGGAGCAAUAAUGGUCACGUGUGGCCAGACGAGAGUACCGUACGAAUAAGCAUCGGCUAACUUCGUGCCAGCAGCCGCGGGAAUACGGGGGAUGCAAGCGUUAUCCGGAUUUAUUGGGUUUAAAGGGUGCGUAGGCUGGUGUGUAAGUCAGCGGGGAAAUGCCCCCGGUCAACGGGGUGAAGUGCCAUUGAUACUGGCGUGCUGGAAUGCGGAUGCAGUUGGAGGAAUGUGUGGUGUAGCGGUGAAAUGCAUAGAUAUCACACAGAACACCGAUUGCGAAGGCAUCUCACGAAUCCGCGAUUGACGCUGAUGCACGAAAGCGUGGGUAUCAAACAGGAUUAGAUACCCGGGUAGUC
rnacentral:rRNA from 1 species